rnacentral:lncRNA from 1 species
GUCCUGGCUGGAUUCAGAUGAUGCUGUGUUCCCGGGUUCCCUGAAGAAUGAGGACAGGCAGCCACAGGAGAGCUGAGACUUUGGCGUCAGGCAGACGCAGCUCCAGCCCUGGCCCUGCCCCACACUAGAAGCAAGUUCUGCCUAUUAAAUCCCUUAUCCAGUGAAAUGGUCUAAAGAGAGAACCUACUUCAGGGUAUUUUCAGGAAGAUUAAGUGAGAGAAUGCAAAGCACAAAAUACAACACCUGGUACCAAGGAAUCAUCCAAUAGCUGGGCUGCAGGAAAAACAAUAUCCAUCCUUUCUGGGAAACCUCAACAUCUAGGUGGUCCCAUGAUCCUGGAUCUUGCACAGCACCAAGGCACUGGGAGCACUUUCUUCUAUGGCCAUGGACCACAGUCUCCUGCAAUGGCUGCCUUCAUUCCUGUCUCCCUCUUUAGACAGAAAGCUCCCAAGCUGAGGACCUGUAUUUGUUCAUCUGUGCAUCCUAAGCCCCUCAAAGUGCCACCCAUCUGACCCAGGAGGCAGAGAGGCUGAAGAACCAGAUGCAGUGAGAGUCCAGCUGUAGCUCCUUGCCAACCUGGUUACUCAGCAGAUUGGUGACAACCCGUGAGAGCCACUGGAGUGUCUCAUGUCCUGCAUCAGCUUCCCCAUUAUAAAGGAACAUGG